GGCCUCCGACGUCCGGGACGCGGGGCGGCCGCUCAGCGGUGUAAACCUCGCAGUCAUAGGAACGCGGGUGCCCGCCCGCCUGCAACAGCGGCCCGAAGGCGGAACGCUCAGCCGGCCGGUCCCGGGCCACCGCCGCUGCCGCCCGGCCCUUAUCCGGUCACUCGGCGCCGUUGCUAGGCGACGGGCAGGGCCGCCGCGGCGGCGGGCCGGAGCUGCCGGGGCUCUCGCACGGCCGGCAGACCGGCGGAGUCGCCGCCAUGUCGCGGGCAGGAAGCGGCCGGCGGGCGGCGGAGCUCAGCGCGGUGCAGGAUGAGCUACAAAAAGCAAUUACUGCUCAUGCAGCAAGAGAGCAAGCAGCUGAAUACUCAGAUGACUUUGAGAGUGACAAGGAUAACAUGCUAAAUGGUAUUGGGGAAGAACUUAAUGAAAGUUAUUCAAGUGGUGAGAGCACUAAGAAAUCGAUUGCUGUUGAGAGUCCCCUCUCAGAUGAUGAUGCUUCACAAAAAGCAGCAGAUUUGGAAAAUGAAGCUGUUGGUGACUUGUCUUUAUACUUCCAUGAAAAGAAGCUUCAGCAAAUAAUGCUUUUAGAAAGUGAAAACAUACAGAAUGACAGAAAAGAUGGUGAAGAAGAAUGUUUGAAAAGUCAAAAUGAGGGUGAUGACAGAAAAAAUAAUGAAGAGUGUUCAGCUGCUGAGGAAGUACGGCAUGAUAAUAAUGAAAGUAACCACUGCGAUGACUUGCCUAUUCAUAAACUACAGAAGAUAAGAAGUCAGGAGGGAAAAAUACCAAUACCAAAGCCACGGGUGCACAAACCAAGAAAUGCUUCAGCAUCAGAUCAAGAUCAGAAGAUCAACACCAGUGACUUAAAGCUGGAGGACAAUAAUAGAAAAUCCUCUUCUGUGACAGAAGCAGUGAUGAAUACAGUAGAUGGGGAAACAAAAAAAUUAGAGAAGUCAGCAGAUGACAGUUCAGAUGAAGCGAUGAAAACAGUAGAAGAGCAAGUAGUAACUGAUACAAUACAGAAGGUAUUGGUGAAUAAUCAAUCUGAGCAUCGGGAGGCAAAGAACACUUCAGAGGACUCUGUCAAGAAACUAAGUGAAACAAAGGAGUGUGUUCUACAAGUCAGGAAAGCUUCUUUAUCUGACAGGUCUCUGUUUUCUGCACACUUAAAGAAAAAAGUGAAAGCUGUUCCAUCAGCUACACCUGUUUCAUCUCAGUAUAUGGGAACAUUAAAGGUGCUGGAGGAUAAACACGUGCAGAAGAACACUACAGAAUUUGACAAAGCAGAUAGUUUACGAGCAGCUGUUUUCCAGAAUUGGUUGGAAAUGAAAAAGCACUUCCUACGGGAAUCAAAGAGGAUUGAAAAGGAGAAAGCUGAAAAUCUAAGGAACAAUAUCGAAAAGAAAGAAGCUGUUAAAAGAGAGGAAGCAAUAGCAUCUUUUGAAGCCUGGAAAAGAAAGAAAGUAAGAGAAGCAAAGAAGUUAAGGGAAAAAAAGAAGCUUGAGGAACUUCAGAAAAAUAAAGCAGAAGAACAGAAUAAGGAUAAAACUGAGGCAGCACAAAAGGCAUUCGAAAAAUGGAAAGAAAAAAAAAUGGAAUAUUUAAGAGAGCAAAGCAGAAAGGAAAAACAGUCUGAAUCAAGAAAGAAGAAGAAAGAAGAGGAACUGGUUGCAGAGAAGAAGAGAGACAACAUGUCAGCAGUUGAAAAAUGGAAUGAAAAAAAGGAAGAAUACAUAAAACAGAAGAAAGCAGAAAAAAUCCGAGAGAAAAGAAAGCAGGAAAUACAACAGGCAAAGAAGGAAGAAAAAACCAAAAAGGCUAUGGAGGAAUAUGAAAAAUGGCUGUCAGAGAUGAAAUCCUACUAACUGAGUGAUUGUACAACCAAGGGAUUGAGCUAGAAGAGAUUGUCUCAGAAAUAUGGAUAGCUGAAAAAGGUAGAGACUAGUAACCUGUGAGAUCUCUCUCCCUGUGGCUCUCAUUCCAAAAGCUACGAGAUCGGCAGCCAGAGCACCAUCUGUGCACACAGCUUAUCCACACCGCCCGGCUUCGGCACAAAGGAAUGUGUCAGCUCCCACUUAUUCCAGGUCAGCUGAAAGCCUCUUCGUGCUCCAGUGAAAUUCUGCAACCAUUCCCUGAAGAUCUAAUCCCUUCACCCAGCACGUCUGACUGGCACAGCCUUCCUUCGGCAAGAAGCUUUUCCUGCAGCACUGCUUUUGCAGGUUGGAGCUGGGAAGGUCCAGCUGCAGAACCUCCCUGCCCUACGAGCUGCAGAACGAUCAUCUCAGGGUCCUGGGGAAUGGGUGGUGUUCGACAGCCAGAUGAAUGUGAGCCAGCAGUGUGCCCAGGUGGCCAAGAAGGCCAAGAGCAUCCUGGCGUGUAUCAGCAAUAGUGUGGCCGGCAGGACCAAGGAAGCGAUUGUCCUCCUGUACUCAGCAGUGGUUUUACCUCACUGUACAUUCCUCAUAUACCUCCUCUAGAGUUUCACUGACAACCAGAUUGCUGAGAAUUCACCUUUAUGAAUCAGAGCUAAUGGCUUGUGCUACCAUGAAAACUGGAUGAAGACAAAUACUCUUAGGAAACUGAUCUUUACUCACAGCCUAUGGACUGGAAACACAAAUUAUUUCUAUCACAUAAUGGGACUAAAUAUGCGGAGACUGAAGAGUGUAAGAGGGACUGGGACAUGUACAUGCAGCCCCGGCUGGCUGACCUGUUUCAAAACCGCAAGAUGAGGAAUGGCUACAUAGAAACUAACCUUACUUAAGGAAUAACCUUCAGAGAAAAUGUUAAUAUACACCAGGUAAAAAAUGCAAAGAAGAUUCUGAAAGACCCGCAGUCACUGCAGUUUGUAAUUAUCAUGUUCCCUCAGGAACAUUUUUCCAGGGUAGGAGUAAUGUCUGGAAACAUCUUGACCAUGUAAAGAAAAAUCGCUGAAGCUGCUGGCAAGCAAAAGACAGAACAUUCAGUUAGCGCAGCUCAUUUCAUCUCUCAGGAGUGUGGGUUGCCCUCUUUGCUCCCCGUGGGAUGUCUCCCUUGCAGUAUGCUCUUUUGGUUAGCACGGUGAAUCAGCAAUCAAGGCAUAUGUGCUGGUACAGUUGGCUGCUCCUAGAAAUCCUCUUCAGUGUAGAAUGGGAAAACGGCUGGAGUCAGAAGGGACCUUCAGACAUCAUCUGGUCUAGCCCCCCUUUCGUCUGUGUGCUUUUAAGAGUCACCAUACAGACGACUUAUAUCUGUAGCACACUUCUAGCAACUAUUAAAAAUUUAGCUAUAUUUUAUAAACUAUUUAUAAAUCAAGCCCAAGUGCAAAGUGUAGCCAAAAAUCCACCUAUGUCCUGACUGGAAGCACAGCCCUAAGAAUGCUGCCGCAGAAGUAGGUACAGAGCACCUGGGUCUUGGGCUCAAGCCAAGAGCAGGUGAAAGACCCUUCAACUAACCCAAACAUGCUGGAAGACUCAGCCUCUGGAUCUCAGCAGGAUGAAAGCCUGACAAUGGAACACAUUCACUGCACAGUCUAACUAACCCACAGUGCAAGGUUAAUAUUUUACUAGUGAAUUUAACUGAAUAUUAUGCUUAAUUGACUUUACAGAAACACGUUAGAGUGGAGUUUCAUGUGCACAGUUAAAAUAAGGGUGCUUCCUAGAUUGCCUAUACUGUGCCCCUGACACAUUAUUUUGGUUAAAAUUUUGGCUGAUUUUGCCAAAAUAAGUCAUAGGAAUACAAAAAAAAUUAUGAAUUGAUUUUGUUUCAUUUAACAUCAAUAAAGAGCCCUUCUGUUUCUCAGCCUGGUUUUAAAUCUCCUGCACGUGGAGUGCAGAGGAGCAGAGUUGUUUUAUUAUGGAUGGCUCUGAAGACUGCAGUUUCCCAGAGUUGCAUAUUUCAUGCUUUCUAUGGCCCGUGGUAUCUCCCCAGGGACAGUGCGGUAGAAGACUGCUUCCCUAAAGGAAGCACUGCAGCUGGAUAUUUGUACCUCAUUCUGCUGGAAUAAUCGUUUCUAUUUGUUCAAAAUAUAAUGUUUUCUUUGUUCUGAUUAAUACUAAAGUGCCCUUUGGUGUUUUAAUAACCCUUUUGAUAGACAAGAAUUUAAUCUUUUACGAAGAAGGAAAGCCUGGAAUUUGUUCAAAAGUGAGUAUACUUUGGUAUGUGGGAUAAAAUAAGACUCCUCCACCCUCAACUUCUAUUCCUGUUUAAUCGUUCUUCCACACAGGGAGCGCUGGAGUAGGAUUAACUUCCAAAAAUUGUCAGCAAGAGAGAAAAUUCACAGCAGGCAUGUUAGCUAUGUUUAUUUGGAUUUAUACAGCUGUAUCUGAAAAUCCUAUCUCUCAGCAAUUUCAUUUUUGUGAGACAUAAAUCCCUUUUGAACCCAUAUUCUGUAGCUUUUACUGAAUGCAAAAUGAAUAACACACACUUUUUUUCAGAAUCUCACCAAACAUUUAGUUUACUUAAAUUGCACAUCAUAAACAUCUCCCCCACCCAGACUCCAGAGUUUCCUGGCAUCUUAUGUUCACCUUCUCACUUGGUUUUCUCUUAUGCAAGGCUUCAUGGAGAUAGAAAUAUCCUUCAGAGUUUGGGCUGAUAUAUGCAGUAAUUACUCUUAGAUGGAUGCGUGUCAGUUUAAAGUGAAAGUCUUCACGUCCUAGUGGAGAGCAGUCCAGAUUAUCACAGGUGCUUGAGAGAUCUUAAGUUAUUCUUCCACUUACAGUUGCACAAAACAAUUGUGGGAGAGAGAAGGGUAACAGACAUUUUUCUCUCUAACUACACCUUUCCCCAGGUGACAAUUAUGCCAUGGGAGGGACAGGUCAGUUAGAGGAAAACAGGGAAACCUCAGCAGGACAAGCCAUAGACCUACUCUUGGAGGUAGCAUCAGUAUUAAUAGCAGUAUAGAUUUGUGUAAACAAUAAUGCCCAAAAACUAACCUAGAACAUGAACCACCAUCCUAAUAACUUCAUAAUGCACAGUAGAGACAGGUUCAGCAUAGAACUCAAUAUAGAAUAUUCCCAUAGAACAGGAAUACUAUUGGGUGGGGAAGAAAGCUGAGUUGGAACAAGCCUAGUAUCUUUGUCAAUACAACCAAAACUGAAAAAUAUCGCCUUGCUUUCUUUGAAGAAGGUAACUGCUUUUAGCAUGGGAACUCUUCAGAAAGACCUGAAGGGUUUGAAAAACAUGGAAUAUCACCAUUUUCACAAUGUCAUUGUUGAGGCUGUGAUACUUAUAUCUAGUUGAGCAAGAGUCUUGCGUGUGAUAUGUGGUAACAGAAGAGGCGUAUUAAGUCAUAAUGUUGAAAGAAACAGCCACCAUUUGCAAUGAUGUAUUUUUGCUUUUUUUACAUGUCUUAAAUGUUAAGUACAAAAGUUCGUAGAAAACUUAGAAAGCCAGGAUUAAGUUCAUACUUGCUUCAAGCAAUGGAGGCUAACUGUAUGUCGUGGUUUGAGCCCAGCCAGUAACUCAGAACCACACAGCCGCUCGCUCACUCCCCCCUUUCUCCCUCCCCCCGCUCCCGGAGGGAUGGGGAGGAGAAUCGGAAGAAUGUAACUCCCACAGGUUGUGAUAAGAGCAGUCCCGCAACUAAGGUAUAAUACAAAACCACUGCUGCUACCACCAGUAAUAAUAAUGAUUAGUGAAAUAACAAGGGGAGAGGAUACAAUUGCUCACUACCCGCCGACCGAUACCGAGCCCGACCUGAGCAGCGAUCAGGGCCUUCCGGGUAACUCCCCCUGGUUUAUAUACUGGGCAUGACGUGCUGUGGUAUGGAAUACCCCUUUGGCCAGUUUGAGUCAGGUGUCCUGUCCCUGCUUCCGCCCGGCUUCCCCUCCUCCCUGGCAGAGCAUGAGACUGAGAAAGUCCUUGGUUGGAAUAAACAUUACUUAGCAACAACUAAAAACAUCAGUGUUAUCAGCGUCGUUCCCAGGCUGAAAGUUAAAAAACACAGCACUGCACCAGCUACUAAAAAAGAGAAAAAUGACUGCUGUAGCUGAACCCAGGACACUGUAUCAGCCAUGGUUUCUUCUCAAUUGAACUAAUUUAAUAACUCAGUAGAAAUCAUUCUCCCUAUAUAUUUCUGUUCAGCAUCUUUUCUUUUAAGGGCUGAUUAUUGCAGUUCCUGUGUAAGUAGGGGAUGUAAGGGAGACUUCUAAUAUUUUAUGCCUUCCAAACUCAGUUGUUAGUUUCUAAUUGGCUUACAGGAAAGCACUAGAAAGGUCAGUUACAGCCACACCAAAGGGAUUAUUUAGACUGAUGUAGAAAUCAGUUGAUAAUUCCCAUUGCACCUUCAAUUCCUUUUGAUUUAAUUUCACUUGACACUGCUGCAGGGAAGAACUGGCUCCUUAAUAAACUAACUCUGUGAAUAUUUUCUACAUGUAACAAAACACUAUAGAGGCUGUUCUUCUUUGCAUAAAAUAUUUAAAUAUUCCCCAAAUAAGGAUUUGGAUGCAAGCCUUCAUGGUCAACAUGUUAACCAUUGGAUCAAAGGGUCAUCCUGAUGCUCUCAUGCCAAUGAUUUAUGAACUUUAAGAAAGUAGCACAGCUUUGGCAAAAGAAACUGAAUACCUCCCAAGAACACUCAGUAGUUCAAAGCAGGCACUGUCCUGAGAGGUGAAAACCCGCACCUGAUCCUUGCUACAGAUGCAGAGCGAUCUGGACCCUGGUAAAUAGGCAUAUAAUCAGCUCUAUGAGCACAUGGCUUAUUAUACUGCUCUCCAGGGUUAAAAUUUUAGGCAGCAACUGAUUUAGGGUACUGAUGAUUUAAUUUUGUACUUAUAAGCAUAUUAUUAAUGCUGUCUACUAGAAAUCUAAGUCUUUUUGUGAAUUAAUGUCUCUGUCUCAAUCCUUUGUAUGCAAUAUAUUGUUCAAUAGAUUUUGUGUUUAAAACUGAGGUCACCUGCCAUUUGAUUCCUGGGUCUGUUACUGCUUUUUGAACUUGAGUUAAUAAUUCACUCUUUCAGCCAGAAUAGAUAUGACGCUGUUUUUCAGAUUCAUCCAUUUCUGAAGGCUCAAGUACAUCUAAACCCUAAAGAUAGUGUUGAUAAACUACAAACUCUUAAGGUUUUCAUAAACCCUGAAGUUUCUGAAAGGUGUUUGAAGUACAAUUUUAGCUUCAAUAAACACAGAAUUGCUACCAAAAAAUCUGCAAAGAGCAGAUUAUAUCCACUCUCUAAUUUGCACUGUUUUAACGGCAAAGAUGUAGAAUACACCAAGCACCAUGCCAAACUAAUUUGUCUUGAACCAAAUAGAAACACAUUGCUUCAGGGGAAAUGUUCAUUAAAAUUGUUUCCAUUGUACCUGCUUCCUCAGACACCUCCUACAUAAUCCAACUUGGUAUUUUGCAAUUAAGUGAAGUUCUUUAAUGCAGUAGCUUUCCUUCUUCUCUCCACCUGCCAAUCAAGUCAUACUACAAAAGCUUCUUCUACAUUCAGCUAGACAGCUGGCUGUAAAGUGCUCACUUUGCUCUUUAAAAAUAACGACAUGCAACCCACCGUUCUGUAUAGUCUGUCAUCAGAUCAUCUGUGUGGCAUAAUCCCCACCCUGCAAUGUCAGAAAGGCAGCAUGUAUUCAGCUGUCUAUCACAUUUUUAUGCUCGUUAAACCUUCGAUGAAGUCAGUGAGCCAAAAUAGAAUGUGAAAAAUAGACCAUCCUUUGCAAGCUUUAUGAAAGGGUACUCAGUCAUUUAAAGAAAAGUAUAGCAUGUAAGUAUGAAAAGAAGAACAGGUAUCACAGAAGAGCAGCUAUUUUUAGCUUCAAUUUCCAUUAAAAUAACAAUCUGCAUCUUUUGUUUAUAUGUUAAUGAAAUAACUUCUCUGCAGCCUAAUGGCCACUUUACUGUAAGUUUUAUGCAGAUGAAUAAACUUGAAACAACCAAAA